rnacentral:lncRNA from 1 species
ACGUAUUGUUUGGAGUUCCGUACCAGAGUUGGACUUGGAGCAUGAAGUUACCCGUUUUUUGAACGAGUUUUUUUUUAAGUUCUCGAUAUCCGGCGCUAGGUGGCUACUAGCCGAUUAAUUUGGAGUAGUAACUUAAUGCAACACUAGAUGGCGAAAGGAAUGCUUUUCCAAACCAGCCGAACCAGUCGAAUUUUAGCUGAAUUCGAUGAAAUGUCGCUAUUGUUUUCAAUAUUCUUGGUUUUUAUGGACUCAAUUCAACCCAAAAUUAUAUGCCUGCUGUCACGCUGCUGGGUGAGUCAAUAGGUUUCACCCGCUGCUGUCGUCUCAUCAAGCUAUUGCAUUAGCAUUAGGUUAUGCAUUUAGAUUGUAUGGAUCAUGGACAUUCCAAGUUUUUACACCAAGUUGCUGAAUAAAUUUUGUAAUUAUUCAAAACUUCCGCGUCCUCAAAGAAAACUUGUGUCCUCAAAGUUGUGUAUGUAACAGGUUGCAUACAAGUUCUAUUUAGAAAUGUUCAUAACCAGACAGGAGAGGAGGACCAUUCAGCUUUACUACCAGCUUAUCCAUGGAUCAAACAGCAACACUGCCAAGACCCACAUCAUCUCAUCUUUCUGUUAUCAUGUUCUCCGAUGGCACUUGCAAUCGCUCAAGUUAUCCGGCCCGAUUGCUAAACUCAAUCUCCGCUUCUGGUCUGACCAAGCAGAGAAGCACCAUGGCUGCCUUCGUUAAACACUCAAGCGCCCUAUCCCUACACCCGAUGGACUUGGCUUGCGAGAGGGAUUUCUUAAUUGCACCUCUAGGAACCCAAUUCCCAACAAUCUCCGUGCGAUAUAAAGUAGCUAUUCCUACUUAUUUGACUUAACUGUUAAAAGUUAAUCGAAUAUCUGCUUUUAAUUCUCUUUCGGAUCCCACCGCCAUGGCCGCCAUCCAGCUUUUCAUGGCAAUGAGCUUGGAAAUCGCCAAAUCAAGGAAAUAGUUGAAACAACCCACGUCCCCAGAUCCCACUGGUGCAAAAACUCAAACUCAACCAACCACUUGGACCCAAUGCAACAGUUUCAAGUACAGUGUGGCGGUUGAAGUUACCUCUAGAAUCCAAUGAUGUAGAACCAGUAGUUAAAUGAAGUGAACUCAAACAUUCAGUGACAACAACACCUUCCUGUGUUAACUGUGUUUGCCUAAAAUAAGAAUUCCUGUUGUGUUAUGAUCCCAAUGGUUUAUCAAGUUUAAUAUCCAAUUUUUAUUUUUAACGUUCAACAUUAUUCUGUUUUUCAAAUUCUUAGCAGCAUGGAAGAUUCCCAAUAUGGAUAGGACUUGCUUCUAUGAUUUGGCCAUUCUCGUCAGGCGUAAGCUGUCGCGUUAUUUCUUUUAUUUCAUCAGCAGUACCUUGACUACCUUCGAUUGGCAGAACCUUCCGGUAUCAUCGUCUACUGUCAUGAUAUGGUACGGUCAAGAUAUUGUGUAACUUGUACAUCCAUAUCUUAUACUCCAUAAAUUAUAACCACACCACCUAAACCAAACACCAUACCUUGACAUCAGAUGCUGCUAUUUUGGCAACAGCAAAGAUUCUACUUGAUUGGUUAUCAUCACAGAUUAUCUAUUUUGCUUAAUAUACUGAAUGAUUUCUUUCAUCUGGAUUUCUUUCCAAGCAAAAGUAAAGGGGCAAUAACACGGUCGACUCAAAAAGUGCUUUGUUUGCUACUACCUUGACGUUUUGCUGGCUGACCGUGCCCUCUUUGACUUCGAGCCCGCUCUCGAUUUGAAGUAAUGCUUGGUGUCGUUUCCAUCUUCUUUUAAAUAUUUGUUAAUCAUGCGUCGCUAUUCCAUGGACGACCUGACGAGAGACGACUCGACGCUCAGCGACGACUAACUAAUAACGCGUUGUCAUUUACAGCAAUUCUGCCAACUUACGUGCUGUCCUUUCGUCGCUCCGAUUCAUCAAUGAGUUGCUACGAGCUGAGUUGCUACCAGCUACGCAGCCAGCUGCCAGAAUCAUUUGAUUACCCACAGCUGACUUGUAAGUUACUCCAGCUCUCAACACAGCACAGAGUUUUACUCUUUAGAUUAUGUUUGGCUGUUUGCGAUAUGUUUAUGAGGGAGUUUACCUGAGUUCGACGACUAAUCACUCCCUAGCAAAACUGGCCUCGCACUCCUCUCUUCUUCCUUGUCCAGGUAAUCUCCCUGGACACAGUCAAUCAAGGCAGUGUCUCUCCCUUCUUGAUUGACUGAACUUUGCAAGGAAAAUUGAACAUUUCAUAUUGAUAAAAUUAAUUUAGUGGAGGUAAAAUAUAAAUAUGUAUGAUGAGGGAUGAUAAACAUAUGUACAUAACAGUGUCAAUAAGCUUGUAAAUUAUAUUUUCUUCUUUAAAAUACAAUGUUGUAUAUAUUUAUA